GGUAGUUAACAUCUCGUCACCAUGGAACCCUCGCCCGAUAUCAUCGGAUCUCACAAGCUAAGUGGGAUUGAGCCUGGUGAGUACUCGGAUGGGCGACUGCCUGUUAAUGCCCGGUGUUGUACGU
rnacentral:rRNA from 1 species